CCAUUAACCCUAACAAUGGUCUCCUCCUCUCAAGAGAAACCAAUCGACCCAUCACAAUUCUUCACAAAUUUCUCCGCAACCCAACAACUCCUCCCUCCAAAUACCACGACGACCACCACUACACCCGCCACUGUUACCGCCCGCAAAACUCAAGAACUCCUCCUCUCUCUCAACAAGCCCCACUCUAAGGACCGCCACAAGAAGGUGGAAGGCCGUGGCACCCGUGUACGUAUCCCGGCGGACUGUGCAGCACGUAUCUUCCAACUGACCCGGGAGCUCGGCCACCGCACCAGUGGCCAGACCAUUGAGUGGCUUCUC
rnacentral:misc_RNA from 1 species